rnacentral:rRNA from 1 species
UGCCAGCCUCCGCUGUACUACUGAUUGGGUUAUCGUUGUUCGGAAUUACUGGGCGUAAAGCGCACGUAGGCGGAUUGGAAAGUUGGGGGUGAAAUCCCGGGGCUUAACCCCGGAACUGCCCUCAAAACUGUCGAUCUAGAGACCGGGAGAGGUAAGCGGAAUUCCUAGUGUAGAGGUGAAAUUCGUAGAUAUUAGGAAGAACACCAGUGGCGAAGGCGGCUUACUGGACCGGUACUGACGCCGAGGUACGAAAGCGUGGGGAGCGAACAGGAUUAGAUA